CAUAGGACACUGGCCGAAAAGCCUCUGGCGAUUCCAUCACCCAAAAUUCACCUCAAUUAGAAAAUAUCAACAAAAAAUACCAAGAAAUUCUAAUAAUCUCCAUUACCAGGAGCCCACACCACCACAAAAAGAGAAAAUAACAAAUUUAAAUGAAUAAUCGGGGAAUGGGGUGGGACUAGACUAGAGCGCCAUAUGAGAAAGGGAACGGGGUCACGGGCGUUGUGGAUGGGGAAUGGGAAAAAGUGCAGAAGAGCAGAGCACUCAAAGGAAAUAGCAAGUGGCAAAUAUUACAACAAAGAGAAGGCAAUAGAACAGGUUCCAGAGAAUUCUGAGUGGUAGGGCUAGGUUGAUCGGAUUAUUUAUUAAUCUAGAUUAGCCCAUCAAGAUAUAUCCCAAUCAAUUAUAUAUCCAGUUUUUUCUUUAACCACUCUCCCUCAAAAGGAAAUUGGAUAAAUGAGCCCAAGUUUAUCUUGAUAUGAAAUAUUUGAAGAGCUGCUAAAGGCAGAGGCUUAGUGAAGAUGCCAACUAGUUGCUGGUGGGAAGGGAAAAAUGUAGGUGCAUUGAGCACAGAUUGGAAGUGACCUCGAACAAAAUGACAGUCUAUAUCAAUGUGUUUGGUUUUCUCGUGGUGCACCGCAUUGUGAACCAUAUGAAUGGUGAAUUGAUUGUCAUAGUAAAGUGGUGUGGGCAAGAACACUUAGAUAUGAAAAUAUUGGAGUAGAUAGGUGAGCCAAAGUAUUUCAGACACAAUAGAAUCUAAGCACGGUAUUCAGCUUCAGUGGAGGAUUUAAAGAUGGUAGGCUGCUUCUUUAUCUUCCAAGAAAUAAGACAAAAGCCCAAACAUAUGCAGUAACCAGUGAUAGAUUUUUUGGUGUCUAAGCAACAUCGUCAAUCAGUAUCCAAGUAGGCAACCAGAUGAAGAUCCCCAAUAGAAGGAAAAUGAAAUUUAAAAUGCUUAGUACGUUUGAGAUAUUCGAGAAAUCUUUGCAUAGCCUUCUAUUGUAGGGAUUUAAGGGAUGCCAUGAAAUGAGAGAGCUAUUGCACAACAUAGAAAAUGUCCAGCCUUGUCAUUGUAAGAUAAAGUAAGCGGCCAACAAUGCAUCUGUAGUUUUCUAAAUUUGGUAGAUGAUCACCCUUAGCAUCCUGUAAUUUGCAUCCAGUAACAAAAGGUGUGGCACAAGGAUUGGCAUCACGAAGACCUAUUUUAUCAAGGAUGUCUUUAAUGAACUUUUUUUUAGACACACUAAUUCUAGAAAGUGUGUUUGUGACCUAAAUGCCACGGAACAGGUCAGCCUCUCCAAAAUUCUUAAUAGUGAACUCCUGAUGAAAGAAUUCAUUGACUGCUAUGAUUUUUAGAAAAUCAGUGCCAGUGAGAAGAAUGUCAUCGACAUACACCAGCAAGGCAAUAAAAUAGUGAUCACGAGAUAGUAUGAAUAAACAGUGGUCAUAUGUAGAUUGUUGAAAGCCGUACCCAACAAUCUUGGUAGUAAAUUGCUUGUACCAUUUCCUAGGAGCUUACUUGAGUCCAUAGAAGGAUUUGUUCAGCUUGCCUACUUUCCCUUGAGGUAUGUGACUUCCUUGAUGUGGUAUCAUAUAAAUUUCUUCUUCAAGGAAGCCAUGCAGGAAUGCAUUGUUCAUGUCAAGUUGGUGAACUUUCCAAUGCUUGGUGAAAGCUAUUGCCAAGAAUAUCAUCACUAUCACAACUUUAGAAACUGACGAAAAGAAUUAUUUAUAGUCUUUCCCUGAAAUUUGUAAGUAUCCUUUGGCAACAAGUUGAGCAUUGAAUUUUUGCACUCUUCCAUCAGCAUUUCUCUUAAUUCUAUACACCCAUUUACAAAAGAUGGGUUUUUUUUCUUUUGGGCAAGGUAUGACCUCUUCAAGUUCCUCCUCUAGCAGCUCUCCAGACAACAUCAUUGUGAGCCUGCACAUAGGAUGUUAAUUCAUGUAUAUCAAUAGUAAAUGCAUUAUGCCAAAUACAUAAAGAUGAUGAGUCAGAGUAGGAAAGCAAUAUGACAAGGGGGCUGACAGUUGUCAUCUAAAUCGGUUUUCUGGUUUGUCUUUUGGGUCUGGUUGGAAUAGAUGGGUAAAGGUUGGAGGCUAGAUCAAGUGUGACAUCUUGUGUUGAUUGAGUGGAUGUAGGGUCAGAUAUGGGAGUUUUGAUUGUAGAAUCAGGGCAAAAGAAUGGAGUGGUUGGGUGAUGAAAAUGGUGUAGUUGGUGGCAGAUCUUGGCUGAUAGUUGGAUUGGGUGUUAGUUGCAGAGUAGGUAUGCCUAGUGGGUUAUUGAAAGGAGGUUGGUUUAGAUAUAUCAUAUUAAUGUUAGGUGGUGUAGGAACUGCAAAAUCAACAUAAGAUUGGUAAGGAAACUCAUUUUCAUAGAAUACAAUGUCUCUAGCCACUUUUUACUUUCUACAUCAUAGAGCUUAAAAUCCUUUUGGCCAACAAGGAAACAAAGAAACAAACAUUUGUAGGCUCUUGGGUCAAGUUUGGUUUUAGUAGGUUUAUUAUUGACAGCAUAACAUAAGCAUCCAAAUACUCUUAGAUUGGAUAUAUUAGGCUUGGUGAGAUAAAGUUUCUCAAAAGGGGUAGACCAACCAAAAAUAGAAGAUGGUAUUCUGUUAAUAAUAUAGGUAGCAUGUAGGAGGGCUGGCCCCAAAAUCUUGAGGGAAAGUUUGCUUGAAGUAUCAAGGCUCUGAUUAAUUGUAGAAAGUAUUUGUAUUUUAUCUCAGUUAUACCAUUCUGUUGUGGGUUGUAAGUGCAGGAAUGGUGAUGCACAAUGUCAAUUUUUUGAUAUAUCAUUUGUAGUGUUUGUUUAGGAAUUCAGAACCAUUGUCAAUCUUGAGUCUUUUGAUAAUGUAAUUGAAAUGUGUUUGGACAUAGAGGAGAAAUGUUUCAAUAAUUUGAAAAAUAUUUUGCUUGUUUAUUAUGAGGUAUGUCCAGAUAGCUCGUGAGUAGUCAUCCACAAUAGUUAAGAAAUAGUGGUUUUCACUCAUAGUGGUUGUUAUGUAAGGUCCCUAAAAGUCCAUAUGCGCUGACCUGUCACACAGUUAAUCGAAUAAUUAACCUAUUCCGUUAUCAUAAUUUAAUGCAAUACAAGGGAACGAGAUCGUCUCCACAGGGAUUGUGUGAUUCACUCUUUCGCGUUCUAAUGUAGUAAAUAAAAAUGGGGAAUUUUCUUAUAUUAUCUAAUGAAGACAAAAUAACAAAACAAUUAAAUUAACGGAGGACUCGCUAUCAAGGGGAUGCCUGACUCAAUGGGUGAUGCAGUUAUGGUACUUGUGUUUUAUCAUUGAUUCAAUAAAGUUAGUUUUUAUUAAAGUAUCAAUAAAUUUGGUUAUAGUUAUCAAUAAGCUCUGACAACCAAUUUUUUCUUACAGUGAAGGUAAUUAAGGUACGACGGUUAACUAUCCUUAAUUAAGCUAAUAAACCUAGGUGCACCCAUAAGAAAUAUUUUCUAAUCACGUUCUAAUCUAGAAAAUCCCAAUUCAAAACAAGUACUACUUAAGAGGAGCAACUAGGUUCGAUAGUCUAACCCCCGGGAAGGAACUAUUCAACCCGAUUGUCACCUAUUCAAAUGCGAAUACAAUUACGGAUAUCCUACCUAAAUUGACUUUAGAUUAUCAGACCAAUUUAAAUAUCAAUACCAAAUUAUCCAAUCAAUCUAACAAUCACAAACAUUAUUUUCAGGAUUAAACAACUAUUGAUAAUCAAAAAGAACUUUUAUAAAUAAAACUAAAAAUCUUCAAAACACAAGAACCAAAAUAUUAUCAUCCCUAAACCAUAAAUGUAUAUACUCCAUAAUCAAAUAGAAAAUAACAAAAAAGGAAAGAUAAAGUCAUAGUGGGAGGGGAAAUCUUCUCUGAGUCUGUCAGUCUCCUACUCCUGUGUAUAUUUGUUCUGGCCGUCCUCCCUUCUUUUUCCGUGUGACUCCCCUUUUCUCUUUUAAUUUUGCCCUAUUUUCUAGCAGUUGGACUUUUGGACCUUUAAUUAAAUUUCCAUGUCUAGAGGGUGGAGUUAGUCAUGGCCAUGACUAACUCUGGGGUGCAAAUCUGAAUUUUUCUUCAUUUUUUCUUCCAAUCAUGCCAAAUUUGUUUUUUCUCUACUGCAUGUCACAAAUAAACAAUACGCACAGAAAUUAGGUAGAAUCCAAUCAAAAUCAAUCAAAUAUCGCAUAUAACAUGAACAUAUAACACAUGCAGUUUUUAACUAUCAUGCACAAGUUCAAAAAUACAUAGAGCAUAAAAGACACUUUUAUUGAAGGGCAACCUAGUUUGUUUAGCCUUGUGACAAAUGCCGCAUGGUUUACAUUUAAAAACAAUAGACAUAGAUAAAUGCUUACAAGUAUCAUCAGAAACAUGUCCAAACUUUUCAUGCCAAAGUAGAGAUUCUUCUACUAAGGUGAGGACAGGGGUAAAGUGGUUGGCAGGGGAGACAUGUUUGGCUAAAAUGUAAAGUUUGGCUCAGGUCCUAAAUUUAAAGUGUCAUUUGAAAAGCUAAGUUUGCAUAUAGACUGUUUAAGUAGAGCACUUAUUGAUAGAAGAUUGUAUUUAAAGGCAUGCAUGUAGUAUACCUUUUAAAUAUGAUGUGAGAACUUAGCUUAAUAGAUCUUGCAUAAGAAGUAGGGAGAAAUGAUCCAUUUAGAAUAAAGAUUUUUGGCUUUGAGGUUAAAGGCUCUAAGGUUUCAAACAACUCAUCAUUUAUGCAUAUAUGGCAAGUAACUCCAUUUUCAAUUAGCCAAGAAUUACUAUCCAAAUAUGCUGAGUCAAAAUAGGAUCCUGAGAACUCAAUAAUUGAGUUGGUGUUAGCAAUUGGUGAAUCUAGGGAUUUUCUCAGCAGCAGUUUCUUCAUUUCAAGUUCACCAAGGCAGUAAUAUCUAGACAAAUCUUGAAGGCCACAUCAAUUUUUAAACUAACUCAAUUUAUUUCUAAGGUAUGUUGGCAAAGUCGUUUUUUCUUGUCAGCCAUUUCUUUUUACCAAAGAGGUAUUCCAUUUAGCUUGAAGAAAGUCUCCUUAGUGUGUCCUUUCUUUUUGCAAUAUUCAAAAAUGGAAUUUUUCUUUUAUGUAUGUAACAUUUUCUUAUCAAUACACCUUUUACUUUGUGUUCUUUUGUUGUCUUCCAAGAAUACAUUAUUUUCUGCAGCAAUAUGAAUCUCUUUCUGCUUUUAAACUUGGAUGAUCAAAGGGUAAGGUUUGCUCAUACUUGGUAAUGGAUUCAUUAUUAGAAUUUGUUUCUUAGCAGCUUCGUAACUAGAUUAGAAGAUCCGUUUUCUUGCCUCUCUAGUAUCUUACGACUUGUCUUACAAGUGCACUCCAGUGGUGGAUUGACAAUAAGUAGCUCCUCCCACAACUCUUGCAAUUUGGUGAUAUAGGUGGUAAUGGAGUCAUCCCCCUUUUUUUAGAGAGCUAAUAGACCUUUUGCAUUGAUAAAUAAGAGAGUCAUUUGAUUGCCCAUAUUUUUCUUUUAGGCUCUCCCAUAAGGAUUUGGCAAUUUGGAAGAAAAUAAAGGCUCAUUGUAGCUCAAGUAUGAUGGAGUUGAAGAUCCAUGCUCUGAUUAAAGCAUUAACCUCAAUCCAAGCUUUAUAUUCUAUGGUUCCUACUACAGGUCUUGAUUGUUUUCCUGUGAGAAAUCCACUCUUGCCUUUGGCAAAAGGACGUUCCACACCCUAUGACUCCAGCAAAAAUAGUUUGUCCCAUUGAGAGGAACAAAAGAUAAAGUAAGGUUUAGUUAAUCUCCACUCCAAUCAGCAGGGCUUUAAACAAGAUGGGUGUUUGGUUGACAAUGGUUUGAGCAACAAUUCGAAAAACUGUUUCAGCAGUAGUCUAAGAUGCAGAUGUGGCCGAUGAGAUAUGACUAUUGGCAUCAUCCUGAGGACCGAUGUCUUUGGAUCAACUAAGCUCUGAUACUAUAAAGAAGAGCAGAGCACUGAAGCAAUAGAAAGAUAAAAUUAUAUAUGUAUGUAUAUUAAAUCAAAAUGAUUGUUACACGGUUUGUAUACAAUUGAUUAUAACAAAUUCCUAACAAACUCUGUGAAACGUGGCAAUGGCAAAGAUUACGGCAAAGAGAGGGUGACAAAACGGGUUCCAAACAAUCACUACUCUAAAAAACGUGACGCGGAUAAUUAGUUGGAUUCAACAACUCCGUCGUUGCGUAUGGAUAGACUCGGAGUGGCGAGCAUACACAAUCUGGGGUGCAUCAAAUGUAUUGCUGGAGGAAGAUCAACAAGGCAUAGCUCCCCGUGUCUUUUACAAGCUCUUUGACCCGAUUAACAAGGAACAAAAAGCAUUUGACAAACAAUUAGUGUACACAUGUCGCUGCUCUUUCCUCGUGGUCCUUUUAUGAUCACCUAAAAAUGUUCUGUCAAUGGCUAUUCUGAUGUUAUCCUUACUGAAUAUUUUGAGCAUCAUACUUAGAUGUACAAUGAACAAAUCACAGAUUUGUUGGAUCCUAGCCAAAGAAAGAGGUCUCUAGAUUAGGGAAGAUGUUAAAGCAGGUGUUUAUGCUGAACAUUUAAGGGAGGAGUGUGCAUCAUCUAUGGAUGAUGUGUCCUUUCAGAAUUGAUUAAUACAAUCAUGACAUGGUGAUGAUCAUGCAUAGUUGCAUCUUAUUAGAAUGAGAUUCAUAGAACCAGUUUCAUGAAUUCUAGUUGUUAAAUAAUAUCUUAUUUUAUUUGUGUUUCAAUUUUUAUUUUACUUUUAUUUUUA